AGUGAACGCUGGCGGUAGGCCUAACACAUGCAAGUCGAACGGCAGCACAGUAAGGGCUUGCUCUUACGGGUGGCGAGUGGCGGACGGGUGAGGAAUACAUCGGAAUCUACUUUUUCGUGGGGGAUAACGUAGGGAAACUUACGCUAAUACCGCAUACGACCUACGGGUGAAAGCAGGGGAUCUUCGGACCUUGCGCGAUUGAAUGAGCCGAUGUCGGAUUAGCUAGUUGGCGGGGUAAAGGCCCACCAAGGCGACGAUCCGUAGCUGGUCUGAGAGGAUGAUCAGCCACACUGGAACUGAGACACGGUCCAGACUCCUACGGGAGGCAGCAGUGGGGGAUAUUGGACAAUGGGCGCAAGCCUGAUCCAGCCAUACCGCGUGGGUGAAGAAGGCCUUCGGGUUGUAAAGCCCUUUUGUUGGGAAAGAAAAGCAGCAGGUUAAUACCCCGCUGUUCUGACGGUACCCAAAGAAUAAGCACCGGCUAACUUCGUG
rnacentral:rRNA from 1 species